GACUCCUACGGGAGGCAGCAGUGGGGAAUUUUCCGCAAUGGGCGAAAGCCUGACGGAGCAAUACCGCGUGAGGGAUGACGGCCUAUGGGUUGUAAACCUCUUUUUUCAGGGAGGAAUCAAUGACGUGUACCUGAAGAAUAAGCAUCGGCUAACUCCGUGCCAGCAGCCGCGGUAAU
rnacentral:rRNA from 1 species